rnacentral:precursor_RNA from 9 species
CAGCGAUCGAUUAUCGGAGUCGUUCUCAAAACGGGUGUGCAUGCAGAUCAUGGUGUAAUAUAGCUCAUGAGAUCAUGCCACAUCUGUCUUGAAAGCCACUCCUUUCUUCCUUCUCGUUU